AUAUAAUCAAUUAAUUGGUUGUUGGACAUGAUAUUUCUGGCUCAGCUGCCAUGAAUAAUAAUUCCACUGGAUAAAGCAAGUGUCUGUCAAUCAAACUGAUUAAUGCUAUCGUCUUGCUCUCAUCACAUUGUACAUUUAAGGCAAAGAAAGGGGUUUUAUUUAUUUAUUUUGUUUUUGAAAGGAUUAGUACGUAGUCAAAUAUAAGUGGAAAAUGUGAUACGCUGGCCCGUUUUGUCAAACAAAGUGGGCAUUAGAUGGUAUAAAGUGGCCAUUUAGAUGGUCAACAAUAAUUUUGUUUGAAGAAGAAUUUAGCAGCAGUAAAUUUGGCAUGCAGAAAAAGAAGAAAGAAGAAAAAGAAGAAAGAAAAAGAUGGAAGAAUAGGAUGCCGCCCAAGAAAAAAAUAAUAAUAAUAAUUUAAUAGCCAAUUUUGGCUAUAAAUAGCGAGGUUUCCUCCUCAUUUUAUUCAUUACAUUUUUUUUAAGUUUCUCUUCUCUGUUUUGUAAAUGAGAAAGAGUUGUGUGAGAGAUUAAGAGUUUUAAUACUCUUGUGUAAUUAGUGAAUGAGAGAUUGGGUGUAUUAGAAUUUUGGAUAGGGAGAUAAAAUAUUGCAAUACUUGUAAUUCUUAUUUCACUAGUAAAAUAUUUUCCUUCUAUCUUUGCUCGUUGACGUAAGCUAAAAGCCGAACCACGUAAUUUUCUAAUGUCAUCUUUUGUGCUUGUUCUUUAUUUUCUUCCAAUUUCAUUUUAGUUGUGGCCCUGUUUCACCCACCAAUUUCCUAACAUGUUUUCCUCUUGUAAAUGAAAUUAUUUGAUUUCAUUUUCCUGCAGUUUAUGUAUGUCCUAGUAGUAUUCUAUUAUAUAUAUGCAUAAUGUAGGAUUGAGUUCUUAAAAACACGAACUUU
rnacentral:lncRNA from 1 species